AAUAAACGCUGGCGGCGUGCAUUAUGCAUGCAAGUCGAACGGCCCUUCGCAAGAAGGGCAGUGGCAAACGGGUGAGUAACACGUAAGUAACCUGCCCCUAAGUGGGGAAUAACCUCGGGAAACCGAGGUUAAUACCGCAUGUAGUGGUGGAGGUAAGGCUUCACCACCAAAGCCUUCGGGCGCUUGGGGAGGGGCUUGCGUCUGAUUAGCUAGUUGGUAGGGUAACGGCUUACCAAGGUUGUGAUCAGUAGCUGGUCUGAGAGGAUGGUCAGCCACACUGGGACUGAGACACGGCCCAGACUCCUACGGGUGGCUG
rnacentral:rRNA from 1 species